AUCCUCACGAGGGUUGCUGGGGCCUAUCCCAGCUGUCUUCGGGCAGUAGGCGGGGGACACGGUGAACACUCAGCCUACUCUAUUAUCGCUGAGCGUAAAUACCUUCUUGCAGUUUGAGGAAAAAAUGCCAUGCAGGGCUGACCAGAUUCCAAUCGUAAUCCAAAACGUAUGCAACUGCAACACAACUUGUGAGUUAAGCGGCGUCUGGUUUAUUGUGCUCCUUGCAGAGAGCUUCUGGUCCACCUUCGGGUCCGGUUCGGAAGGUGCGUCACGAGCGGACAAAAAUGGAAAAAUAUGGAAAAAUACAGCCGUUUCUUUGCCAAUAACAAUCGUCAUUUAGGGUAAGAAAAUGUUACUUUGGCUACGGCUGCAGUGUGGCCCGAUCUCAAGGCGGCCUUGAAAUAGUCACAAGACAGUGCUAUUUAUUACAGAAUGAAAUGAUUUACGUCACCGGUAUUGAUGCGCCGAGUAGCCUCACAACGAUGCCUGUGCCGUGUCAAAAUGUUUGCAUUUUUCCUUCCCGUGCUGCCAUUAUUUCACUGCCAAAGAAUCAUAAACGCUCCAGUGCCUUGUCGGUUUUUGGAGGGAAGCAAAUGUAUUUGAAAGUGGAUUUCAAACGAGUCAUAUGAGCUCUUUCCGGAUGAUUUACAGUCCAUAUUCGGUCGACGUUGUACCUGCAAAUACUGUAGAAAUGUGUAAAUGAUAAGAUAUAUGGUCCCUUUUGAUAUCUUUAUGUGUAUACAACUGUAUUUUUAACUGCUGUUUGAAAUUUGGAUUAUUAAAAUAGUUUGGAUGUCAAGUGUUGCCGCUGUACGGGAUCUUUGACUUCUCUCGCAGUGCCAGGACGGCUCCUCUUUCUCCCUUAAAAGCUAUUAGGAACUUUUAAGCUGUCAGAGAUUCUCCGAGGAAAUAAAUCAGCGUCUCUUUGCCAAAGAUAAACAGUAACAUUUAAAGUGUCAAGCAUUUUCAGACUGCAGGCGAAUGUUGUCUCGAACCGCCUGUGACUGACUUUGUUUCAAAAGCUUUUUUUUUUUCUGCCUUGCAAGCAUUUUUGUAGCUUGAUCAAGAAUCCACCACAGGUAUUUGCAAUUGUUUCAUAUGAAAGAUGCAGUAUUUUUCUGAUGUAAAUAAUGCUUGUUUGCUGAACUCAUUACCCUUCUUUAAGGUUUGUGUGUUUAUAUAUUUAAAUGCGCGUGAUGGAUACCAAAUAAACUUCCCAUGGUGUUA